AUAAUUACAUAUCUUUUUUUUUAUUUGAUUUUAGUACUUGUUUCACCUCUUUCCUCUAAAUCUCUGCACGCUGUAUGAUGCUUGGAAGCUUCACCUCCAAUUCAAUAAGGCUAUCACACUCAAAAUGACAUAUCCACCACCUCAUGCUCCGGAGUCUUGUAUGCAAAUCCCGAUUCAUCACUAGAACGCCUUUUGACCACACUCGCCCUUUGCACUAGCCGUACCAAUGAUUGCACAACUUCAGACAUGGGAGGUCGGAACUCAGGUUCCGGCUGAACACAGAGAGCAAUAAUGUCAGCGAAACGUGAAAGAGACUUUGC
rnacentral:misc_RNA from 1 species